CUUCGAUUUGAAAUCUAGGUUUUAUGAAAUUUUUUUUAUUUUUUAUUUUUUAUUUUUGGGCGUUUGAAAUCUAGGUUUCAUGAUUUUUUAUUUUUUUUGAUUAAUGAUGAACAAUUGAAAUUUUGAAUGCAAUUAGGGUUGGUGUGUGAACCAUCAAAUAGUUGAAUUUUAAUUUUUGGGCGUUUGAAGGCGUUGUUCUGGUUGAUGCGAAGCCAUGGUUCCGUUUGAAUACAAGCCGUAUUUGGAUUCCAAAACAUUGUAAGUGUAAAUUCGAUUUGUUUUGUUGAAUGGGAUAAUUAUUGAAGGUUUACAUUGUUGAAGGUGUAUAUGUGUGUGUGUUACUUUAUUUAGGGUUGGUUUAUGAGUUGAUUGUUUGCAUUAAUUUGGUUUAUGUGUGUGGGAAUUGAGCUUAUUGUCUAUUUAGAAAUUGUCUGAGGUUGUUUUACUAGAAUCACAUUCAGAGGUUUAGUUCUUUGGAUUCUUUGCUUGGGAAAAAUCUUGUCUUUCUUCAGGUAUAAUAAUUUACACUGCAUUUUUAUUUUAUUUUCAGAAAAUUUCAUGGAUUGGUGUUGAAAUAUUUUAUUUAAUUACUUUAUUAUGGGGUUGUGAUUUUGUUGAAUGAUGCUGAAAUCCCAUGUUUUAUUUUUGUAAGUAGUUUUAAAUGGGGUUGUGUUUCUGUUGUGAUUCAUGUGGAAAUCUGUAAAAAACAAAAAUUAGUUUUUGUGGGUUUUUGUCAAGUAUAACAUAGAAAAAAAUUAAGUCUUUUUUUUUUUUAAACCUAUGACUUAUGGUGUGGAUUUUGUCUAUAUUUGUAUGAUUUAUGCUUAAUAAUAUUAGUGUGGGUAUAAUUUAUUAGGGAAAAUGUUCGCUUUUGAUUGAUGCUGAUAAUAAUAUUUUAGUAGGGUGUGGAGCAGUGUCUACUGUUUGGACAAAACCUUAAUUACUCAGCUUGUCUUGGUUGAUCCAAACAGAGAAAUUCAGGAAAAGAUGAAUCAAGGCCCUUCCAGACAGAAUCCAAAGGAUCCUAAUGUGAAUGUUGCUGAACAAUCCACACGCAAGUUUAAAGAGCUUAUUUCAUGUUUGCUGCAAGAUGUAAAUUCCUUAGGCUAACGAGAUCUCUGUUGUUGCCGAAGAAGAGUUCAACAUUGAGAAAUUGCAGUUAGUUGCAGCAGAGAAGAAGAAGAUCAGGCAGGAGUAUGAGCGUAAGGAGAAACGAGCUGAAGUUUGCCAUGUGAGUAAUUUAUCUGUUGUUUAUCGAUUGAAUUGCUGCUUACUUCGUUGCUUAAUUUCAUCAGUCGAAUUAGUAAAGGCAGAAAUUGGUUUGCUUCAGGAUAAUGUGGAUAUCUCAUCAACUUUUUCUUAAAUGUUUUGUGCUAUAUGUGAGUGGCUAGCUGUGAAGGAUCUUAGCAAUAUCAAAUAAUUGGGUGAUGACCGAACAUGGCUGAAUUGACAAAAUGAUCCUUCUUUAGUGUUCAUUUGAUUAAAAAUAUAGAAUUACAUAGAUAGUUCAACUUCCUAAGAUGUACUCCAUCUGUUUGUUUGUGAAAAACACUGCAACU